rnacentral:rRNA from 1 species
CCUACGGGCGGCAGCAGUGAGGAAUAUUGGUCAAUGGGCGGAAGCCUGAACCAGCCAAGUAGCGUGCAGGAUGACGGCCCUACGGGUUGUAAACUGCUUUUAUACGGGAAUAACGCGCCUUACGUGUAGGGCUUUGCAUGUACCGUAUGAAUAAGGACCGGCUAAUUCCUUGCCAGCCGCCGCGGUACUACGGAGGGUCCGGGCGUUAGCCGGAUUUAUUGGGGUUAAAGGGAGCGUAGGCCGCAUGUCAAGCGUGCUGUGAAAUGUACGGGCUCAACCCGGGCCUUGCAGCGCGAACUGGCGUGCUUGAGUCCGCGGAAAGCAGGCGGAAGUCGUGGUGUAGCGGUGAAAUGCUUAGAUAUGACGAAGAACCCCGAUUGCGAAGGCAGCUUGCUGCAGCGGAACUGACGCUGAUGCUCGAAAGCGUGGGGAGCAAACAGGAUUAGAUACCCGUGUAGUC